UGGGUUUGAUCCUGGCCCAGAAUGAACGCUAACAAUAUGCCUUACACAUGCGAGUUUAAUAAAAAAAAUUAUUUAAGCAAUUUUUUUUAUGGCGUACGGGUGAGUAAUAUAUAAGAAUUUGCUUUUAAGUUAUGGUCUAAUUCAACAUUAGUGUUAAAACUAAUUAAAAUAUUUUAAUUAAUAUUUUGAAAAUACCAAACGAGGCUUAAUGCCGCUUAGAAAUAAGCUUAUAAAAGAUUAGGUAGUUGGUAGGGUAAAAGCCUACCAAGCCGAGGAUCUUUAACUGUUCUGAAAGGAAAUACAGUCACACUGGGACUGAGAACGGCCCAGGCUUUAUAAGCCAGCAGUGGGGAAUCUUGGACAAUGAGCGAAAGCUUGAUCUAGCAAUAUUGCGUAAAUUGUGUGUGGUAAUUACGGUCUCUUGUGUUUCGCAAGAAAUAUAAGAGGCUAACCGUUAAAUUUUUUCGUUAGUUAAGAUAAUGACUUAAUUAAAGAAGAAGUCCCGGCUAACUUCGUGCCAGCAGCCGCGGUAAUACGAAGGGGACGAGCGUUAUUCGGAAUGAUUAGGCGUAAAGAGUUUGUAGGUGGUAUAAUUGAUUUUUGGUAAAAUUUUAGAUUUUUUUAGUUUAAAAGAGCCUUUAAUAUCAAUUUACUUGAGUAUAGCAAAGAAUAGCAUAAUUUUAUAUUUAGGAGUAAAAUCCAACGAAAUAUAAAGGAAUGCCAAUGGCGGUAGCAGCUAUUUAGGCUAUUUACUGACACUGAGAAACGAAAGCGUAGGUAUCAAACAGGAUUAGAUACCCUGGUAGUCUACGCUGUCAAAGAUGAGUGUUAAUGGCAGGAAGUUUCUCUGUUAUUUAGUUAACGCGUUAAACACUCCGCCUGGGGAGUACGAUUGCAAAAUUGGAACCCAAAGGAAUUGACGGGGAUCUAUACAAGUGGUGGAGCAUGUGGUUUAAUGCGAUAGUACGCGCAAAAUCUUACCGGUUCUUGAAUAUGUUGUUAUUGUGCAUAAGAAUGCACGUUUUAACGCUUUACUCUAAUAAAUAAGUAAAGAUUAUAAAGCAAUAUACAGGUGUUGCAUGGCUGUCGUCAGCUCGUGCUGUGAGGUGUCGGGUUAAGUUCUUUAACGAGCGCAACUCUUUUUCUACGUUAAUCUUUGUUAUUAUUUUUAAUGACAAAUAUACUCCUAGAAUACAGCUAAUGACAAAUUAGAGGAAGGAAAGAAUGACGUCAAGUCCUUAUGGCCCUAAUGAACCGGGCUACACACGUGCGGUUGGAACCA
rnacentral:rRNA from 1 species